UCCAGUUCAUAAAGCCGACUGCAAAGGUCAUUGCUACUAUUAUUUGCAUUCUUGCAUAGUACUCGCGUGGGGUAUAAAACCCCGUCAGUUCUACGAAGGGCAUCAUAUAUCCCUGGAUAUUCGAACUACUUGCAACAUGCAUAAGCUGCUAAUCUUUUUCGCCCUGCUGGCUAUGGCGUUCGCGGCGCCCGCGCCCUCGCCGCCGUUAGUGUACACGGCCCCGCUGGGCUACCCGUCCCCGUACCUGGCUGGGGCGCCCGUGAUCUAUAACUCCCCCUACCCCGCCUACUCGCCCGGUCUGUACCCAGCCGGCGCACCCAUCACCUACACCAAGUACUUCUGAGGACUUCGACGACAUCACUUUUAAAUCUGGAAUAAUUCGAACAGUUUGAGAAAUUCGCAAUAAAUUACCGUUCCGCCUA